UACAGAGGGUGCAAGCGUUAAUCGGAUUUACUGGGCGUAAAGCGUGUGUAGGUGGUCGGGAAAGUCGGUUGUGAAAUCCCUGGGCUCAACCCGGGAACUGCUUCCGAUACUUCUUGACUCGAAUUCGGUAGAGGGAGGCGGAACUCCAGGUGUAGCGGUGAAAUGCGUAGAUAUCUGGAAGAACACCAAUGGCGAAGGCGGGUCUCUGGACAGUUCCUGACACUGAGACACGAAGGCCAGGGGAGCAAACGGG
rnacentral:rRNA from 1 species